UACUCCGAGUUCAUUUUUCAAUAUUUGCCGAAUGGAAUAUUGCGAUAUGUUCAGCUCACGAGCCAUUUUUCGGGUUUCGAUCAAGUCGAUUCUUUACUUUUCGGACCAUUUCUGCUGAUGUUGCUGUUUUCUUUCGUCCACUUCCUUGACGUCAGGCUACACUACCAGUAUCAUGGUAACGAGCGAUGGUACGAGACACAAAAGAUUUAUUCACAUCUAAAUGGUGGAGUGCUCUAACGA